GCAGGCUGGGGCCGGGUCACUCUACUUCCCGCUGCCCCGUGAGUGGGGGGUCGGGCUUGCCCUGCGCUCACGGGGCAGCAGGAAGUGGAGCGACUCGGCCCCAACCCGCUCCGCUCCGCUGGCUCGUGCUGGGGGCCGGUUUCCCCCCGGGCCCUCAAGCCUGUUCCUGCCCCCCCCCACGGAGGCCUGGGGACGCCCCUGAACCUAGUGAUAUAUUAGGUUCUAAGUCAUGAUUUUUGAAUGGUCAUCAUCAUGUUCCCAUUACGCUUCUGAUGUUUAGGGCAGUGACGAAGCUCCUUUACUCCUGUCUGUUUCUGGCAAGUCUUUCAAUGGUUCCCUAGCUGUGCCCCAGGUUUUUCAGCUCAGCUUCCACAGCUCUUUGCCAUAUUGUUUUCGGGCAGCCUCAUUUUUGCUUGCCUUUGGAUGUUCAUCUUAUUGCUACUCUAGUGAUGGAAUCAGUUUCCAUCCAAAGCACAUGGCCAAUCCAUUUCCAAUGCCUCCUGUCAAUGAUGGUGUUCAUAUCCUCUUGGCUGCAUUGUGUCAAUAGAUCUUGGUUUGAGAUUGUUCUGGGCCAAAAUAUACGGGGCAUUUUUCUGAGGCAGGUUGUAUGGAAUGAAGACAGUUUGAACAUGUCAGACUUUCUCAUUCCCCAGCAUUCUGCACUAUAAAGUAAUGUUGAAAGUACGCAGGUGUGGAUGCACAGACCAGAUCUUCACUCUAUGAAACAUAAUAGAAAAAUGCUUAGAAUAGCAACAGCAAUUCUACAUAAACUUCAUAGACUUUGAGAAGGCUUUUGAUAGUAUUCACAGGACCAGCCAAGGUGCAUUCUGCGGGGAUAUGGAAUCCCUCUCCAUAUAAUCAUCAUCAUCAAACGCUUUUAUUUCAACUUUACAUGCAGGGUUGAUUACAGUGAGCUCAGUUUUGAAGUCAAAACAGGAGUACAUCAGGGGUGUGUCAUGUCUGCAAUCCUCUUCAACAUUGCCAUUGACUGGCUAAUGCAGCGAAUAACAGAAGACAUGGUAUGAGGCAUUAAAGGGACACCCUUCUCAUCCCUUGAAGACCUGGACUUCGCAGAUGAUCUCGCUCUCCUAUCACAUAUCAACACCAUAUACAAGAAAAAACUCGACUCAACACAUUCAGCCAGCAAAUUGGACUGAAAAUCAAUCGUAAUAAGACAGAUAUCAUGACCUUUAAUAUUACCUCAUCAUUCCCAGCACAGAUAGAGGAUUCUGUUCUUAUCAAUGUAGAAACAUACUUGGGCAGCACCAUCAGCCAGGACAGUGGAACAAGCCAGGACAUCCGGAACAAAAUCAGUAAAGACAGGAAGAUCUUCAGGAGCUUAAAUACAGUCUGGAAAUUAUCAAAGUACAACUCCAAAACCAAACUCAAGUAUGGUAGAGGUUGGCAAUGAUGGAGAUGCAGAAACUUAAGAUUUAUAUAAUUAAACUAACAUGGCCAUGUUACAUGCAUGCUAUAUUUUUGUGACGGGAUCCCUGGGAUACAACCUGGAAUCGUGGGACCACUGUGCCCCCUUAACUCUCCAGCCUGGGCUGUCUCCCACAAUGCUUUGCCAGUGACAAGCAGCAAACCCCUCCAGGUGCUGUUACCUCUCAGUCACCAGCAUGCAGAGGCACACCCAGUUAAGUUGCAUGAAUACCCUCUAAGCCACCUUUGAACUAUACAUGGGGAAACAUCAGCAAAUUUCCCAAGCCCCCAGCCUUACACCCUAGAAAUAUAUCAUCUUACACUGUUCCAGACCUCUUGAACAGUGCAAGCUUAUUUAUUAGUAUGCCACUUCGCCAAAGGAAAGUGGACAUGCACCAGUUUUUCUAACUUGAACAGAUUCCCCAAGCACUUUAGACAAACUCACUGGUAAGGAUAAAACAUUAAAUUACAUUUAUUAACUACAGAAGGAGAGAUUUUUAAGUGAUUUAUAAAUGGUAAGCAUAAAAGGUCCCUACUUAGUUACCAUAAGAAAAUAAAAAGUAAACACGCAUUCUAAAUCCUAAACUUUAGACUAAGCAAAAAUUGAAUCAAACAGCUUUUCUUACCUCACUGGAUGUUGCAGGUAGGUUGUAGUUCUUAAAACGCAGGCUGAAUUUCCUUCUUAUCCUGGGACCAGUGUCCUCAAUUCAAAGUCUUUAUCUCCCCAGAGUUCUUGUUGCCUUCAGCGUAGGCGGGUGAUGAGAGGUCAUCUCAUGAUGCCACUGUCCAUUAUUUUAUACUCUUAGUCCGUGUCCUUGGAAAGAAACUGUUCCAGGCAUAUCCUGGAGGGCCUUGCUGAGUCACAGAGUUGAGCAAUCCUCAUUGUGUGGUGCUGGCACAACUGUCUCUUAUUGGCAUAAGAGAUGACAGCAUCUGCCAUAUGCUGUUCUGAAACAGUCCAAUGCAGAGCAUUGUUUCUGGGGGUAGGUUGAAGCCUGAAAGUUAUUUUAUGGGGUUGGUAAUGCUGGUUGGUUAGGAAAAUAGCAUUAUCCCAGAAUUGUUUCCAAUGUACCUUGAGUUUGAAUGAAGAUGCUUUACAAGCGUUAGCCUGAUCUCAAAAAGAGUGCAGAAGACUUCAUAAAAUGAUAAGUUCAAAUUGGCCAUGGUUUGGUUACACUCACAAGCUGUGUGUGUUCUUCUAUGGAUUUUGUUUGGUGGUAUGUACGCCAGAGUGGGCAACCACUGAAUAGGUGUUGAUGUUAAUGUUCCUGUUACGAUUCUCAUUGCUGCAUUAGGCUGUGUGUAACUGGAAUGAUGGUCCUGCAAUUUGUGGAGAACUGUCUUGGCUUCUGUACUCCCCUGGUGGAAUUGGAUAGUGAAGGAUCUGAGUCCUUGCCCCAACUCCCUUUACCCAGAUGCGUUCCUGACUUUAAGGACUCCUCUUCUAUUUUCCCAUGUGGCAGAGUCCUCAUAAUCCCGGUACAACUGAAAUACUCCUAAAAAAGGAUCCUGACUGUUUGUCUAACACCUCAAACCAUUAUGCAAGAAUGAUGUACCUUUUUUCGAAACAAAAUUAUUUUUAUUAAAUUCUUUUUUUUUUAAGGGAAAAUAGUGAAAUCAAAUAAAUAUGUACAGAAGGUUAGGUCCAGUUACUAAUUUAAAAAAGGGAGAAAUAUAUUUACAGUCAGAGUCUUUUUUAAACAGAGAAUAUGUAGCUAAGAGAGGAAGUAUAGUUUUGUGAAAUUAGGAUGGGACUCAGGCAAUCUGGAUUUAGUUCUCAGCUCUGCUACAGCCUGUGUGUGACCUUGGGCAAGUCACUUCAUCUCUGAGCCUUUGGUCAUCACCUGUAAAAUGGAGAUAAGUAUACUUCUCUACCUCUCGGAGAUAUUCGUUAUCAUCAGUGAGGUGCUCAGAUAGUAUGGUGAUAAGGGCUGUAGAAGUGCCUAGGUAGGUAACAUAUACAGAAUGUUAUAUAUAUGAAAUACAGUAUGUAUGGAAAUUGGGCACUUUGUUUCUGAUACUUAUUUAUUAAUGAAUGUGACUAAAACUUUAGCCAUUUUGAAAGAGGAGGACUGUGACAUCUGAAAGUUGGUAGUAAAAAACUCAACCCUGGAAAGUAUUAAAUAUCAAUGUGUUGAAGAGUCACUUUUUUUUUUCUAUCUUAGGACCCCCUUCCUAAUGUAAUGGUAUUUUUUUUAUAAAUGUCUCCCUACAUCACGCUAGGGUAAUGAGUAGUUCCUAGCUCAGUAUGUGAUCAAUGGGAAAAAUAGGUAAGUGUUGCUUCUGCUUAAAAAUAACUCAUAAGAGUGUCACAGAUACUUUACUUU